CGGAUCCAGCAGCCGACGGAUCGAGACGGAGAGGCGGCGACCUCCGUUGCCGGGCUCCCUGAAGAAAACGUGUGAGAGAGAUUAGAGAGAGAAGGGGAAGAGAGGGAGGGGGCGGGCAUCGGCUUGGCCUGCUUGCGCGCGGUUGGAGGAGGCAGGGCCCUUACCUCGAUCUGGCGCCACGGUCCCUAGGGCGUGCGGAGGACAGGAGGAGGGAAGAGAGAUGGGGGGUGUGGCACGGCCGGAACUGGUGCGGGGCGGAGAAGAGGAGAGAGCAGCACUGAUGGGGGCGUGGAUUGAUGACGAGCAGUGCUGUGUGGAUAAGGGAGCUCUCCGGUGGGGAUUUUUGUCUAUUUUUUUAUUGAUUGCACACCGACCAGAAGCUGCCGGAUUGAUUUAUAUUUCCAGUCGAUGAUUGUGGACCAUGUUUUUUUUACCCCAUGCCCUUUUGUUGUAGUAUUUUUUUGGGUGAUGCCAGGUAAGUUAUAUUAUUGCUGUACUUAAAUGUUGAUAUUAGUAUAUGUAGCAACAGACUGUCGGGAUGGUAGCUCUAGCCUCUGCCAACGUUCUAAAAAUGUAGCAUACGUACCAUGCAAAACAAAAAAAAUGUAGCAUCCGUUAUACUGAUAUUAAAUGUUUUUGGAUGCUUCUUUUUCUUGAGCACAUACUCCCGUCCAUGGUCUCCUUGAUCUCAGGAUCUGCUUAUUCUUAAUUAUUGAUUUGAUUUGUAGGAUUUACAUCAGAUUGGCGCAAUUUGAUGAACUUGAAUUGUUUUAUGUUGGCCAUUAUAAUUUUUGUGUGCUAUCAAUUGCAAAGAAAAUAUUCUAUAUGAGC
rnacentral:lncRNA from 1 species